UGGGGAAUUUUGCGCAAUGGGGGAAACCCUGACGCAGCAACGCCGCGUGGAGGAUGAAGUAUCUUGGUACGUAAACUCCUUUCGAUGGGGAAGAUAAUGACGGUACCCAUAGAAGAAGCCCCGGCUAACUUCGUGCCAGCAGCCGCGGUAAUACGAGGGGGGCAAGCGUUGUUCGGAAUUAUUGGGCGUAAAGGGUGCGUAGGCGGUUUGAUAAGUCUGAUGUGAAAUCUCUGGGCUCAACCCAGAGUCUGCAUUAGAAACUGUCGGGCUUGAGUAUGGGAGAGGUGAGUGGAAUUUCCGGUGUAGCGGUGAAAUGCGUAGAUAUCGGAAGGAACACCUGUGGCGAAAGCGGCUCACUGGACCAUAACUGACGCUGAGGCACGAAAGCUAGGGGAGCAAACAGGAUUAGAUACCCCCGUAGUCC
rnacentral:rRNA from 1 species